AACUGAUCGUCCAGAACCACACUGUGCAAAUAUAAUGAAAUCAGAAAGGAAACAACAGCAAAAAGAAAGGAAAAAAUAACAAAGAAGAAGGCCACGAGUAGCAUAUCUUUAAUAUGCCUGCAUAUUAAGCAAUAUAACACUCAAUGAUGGCACAUAGAAAAUUCCCAGGCAUUACUAUUCUACAUAAAUUGCAUAUUGAAUAGUAAUGGCCAUCCAAUCAAUCAAUGUAUUGAUAUCAUCAGCAAAAAUUAUUUCACGCCAUAGGUGCUAAACCACAAUAAUACUAAAAGGAACUACAAAUAAUAGCAUUUCAAAAAAAAAAAUCAUCCAACAUUUUCAACCCUUUGUGUGGGUACGUGUGCAAUGACUGUAAGAAAUCAUUAGACACUCGAAUGCAAGUGGCAAACUGUUACACAACAGCCUGCACACUUAGCGAAACAGAGAAAUAGGGAGAGAG
rnacentral:misc_RNA from 1 species